UACGUAGGGGGCUAGCGUUGUCCGGAAUCAUUGGGCGUAAAGAGCGUGUAGGCGGCCCGGUAAGUCCGCUGUGAAAGUCGGGGGCUCAACCCUCGAAUGCCGGUGGAUACUGUCGGGCUAGAGUGCGGAAGAGGCGAGUGGAAUUCCUGGUGUAGCGGUGAAAUGCGCAGAUAUCAGGAGGAACACCGGUGGCGAAGGCGGCCACCUGGGACGGUAACUGACGCUGAGACGCGAAAGCGUGGGGAGCAAACAGG
rnacentral:rRNA from 1 species